UACGGGGGGUGCAAGCGUUAUUCGGAAUUAUUGGGCGUAAAGGGCGCGUAGGCGGUUUUAAUAGUCAGAUGUGAAAGCCCCGGGCUUAACCUGGGAAGAGCAUUUGAAACUUUAUAACUUGAGUACGGUAGAGGAAAGCGGAAUUCCUGGUGUAGAGGUGAAAUUCGUAGAUAUCAGGAGGAACACCGGUGGCGAAGGCGGCUUUCUGGACCUGUACUGACGCUGAGGCGCGAAGGCGUGGGUAGCGAACAGGAUUAGAUACCCUGGUAGUCCACGCAGUAAACGUUGUACACUUGGUGUUGCGGGUAUUGACCCCUGCAGUGCCGAAGCAAACGCGAUAAGUGUACCGCCUGGGGAGUACGGUCGCAAGACUA
rnacentral:rRNA from 1 species